GGUGGGGUCUGAGGAGGGUAAUAUGUAGACGAGCCUUACCCUUACCCGACAGGGCAGGGAGGCUGUUUCCAAUCGACCCUCGGCUCAUAGGGUUAGGUGAAAAACAGUAGUAAAACAAACAGAAACAAAACAAAACAGAAACAGUAUAUCAUUAGUGCAAUAGAAAUUCCAGCAUAAAUAGCGUUAGAAAUAAUCUGAACAAA
rnacentral:lncRNA from 1 species